GUAACAAGGUUUCCGUAGGUGAACCUGCGGAAGGAUCAUUACAGUAGUCGCCCGGGUUGCCGCAAGGCCUCCCGGGUAACCUACCACCCUUUGUUUAUUACACUUUGUUGCUUUGGCAAGCCUGCCCUCGGGCUGCUGGCUCCGGCCGGCGAGCGCUUGCCAGAGGACCUAAACUCUGUUUGUCUAUACUGUCUGAGUACUAUAUAAUAGUUAAAACUUUCAACAACGGAUCUCUUGGUUCUGGCAUCGAUGAAGAACGCAGCGAAAUGCGAUAAGUAAUGUGAAUUGCAGAAUUCAGUGAAUCAUCGAAUCUUUGAACGCACAUUGCGCCCCCUGGUAUUCCGGGGGGCAUGCCUGUCCGAGCGUCAUUACAACCCUCAAGCUCAGCUUGGUGUUGGGCCCCGCCGCCCCGGCGGGCCCUAAAGUCAGUGGCGGUGCCGUCCGGCUCCGAGCGUAGUAAUUCUUCUCGCUCUGGAGGCCCGGUCGUGUGCUCGCCAGCAACCCCCAAUUUUUUUCAGGUUGACCUCGGAUCAGGUAGGGAUACCCGCUGAACUUAAGCAUAUCAAUAAGCGGAGGAAAAGAAACCAACAGGGAUUACCUCAGUAACGGCGAGUGAAGCGGUAACAGCUCAAAUUUGAAAUCUGGCCUCACGGUCCGAGUUGUAAUUUGUAGAGGAUGCUUCGAGCAUGGUCUGGCCUAAGUUCCUUGGAACAGGACGUCAUAGAGGGUGAGAAUCCCGUAUGCGGCCAGGUGCCUACGCUCAUGUGAAGCUCCUUCGACGAGUCGAGUUGUUUGGGAAUGCAGCUCAAAAUGGGUGGUAAAUUUCAUCUAAAGCUAAAUAUUGGCCAGAGACCGAUAGCGCACAAGUAGAGUGAUCGAAAGAUGAAAAGCACUUUGGAAAGAGAGUUAAACAGUACGUGAAAUUGUUGAAAGGGAAGCGCUUGCAACCAGACUUGCGCGCGGCCGAUCAUCCGGUGUUCUCACCGGUGCACUCGGCCGUGCUCAGGCCAGCAUCGGUUUUGGCGGCUGGAUAAAGGCCCUAGGAAUGUAGCUCCUCUCGGGGAGUGUUAUAGCCUAGGGUGCAAUGCAGCCUGCUGGGACCGAGGACCGCGCUUCGGCUAGGAU
rnacentral:sRNA from 1 species